CAAUAGCGUAUAUUUAAGUUGCUGCAGUUAAAAAGCUCGUAGUUGGAUUUCGGGUGGGAAUGGCCGGUCCGCCGUUUCGGUGUGCACUUGCUACGCCCACCUUGCUGCCGGGGACGUGCUCUUGAGUUAACGCUCGGGACACGGAGUCGGCGAGGUUACUUUGAGUAAAUUAGAGUGUUCAAAGCAGGCCUACGCUCUGAAUACAUUAGCAUGGAAUAACACGAUAGGACUCUGGCCUAUCUUGUUGGUCUGUAGGACCGGAGUAAUGAUUAAGAGGGACAGUCGGGGGCAUUCGUAUUUCAUUGUCAGAGGUGAAAUUCUUGGAUUUAUGAAAGACGAACUACUGCGAAAGCAUUUGCCAAGGAUGUUUUCAUUAA
rnacentral:rRNA from 1 species